UGGAUCCAGACUUUGAUUCUGGCUCAGGACGAACGCUGGCGGCGCGCCUAACACAUGCGAGUCGAACGGAGAUUACAGGCGGAAGUUUUCGGAUGGAAGCUUGUAAACUUAGUGGCGGACGGGUGAGUAACACGUGGGCAACCUGCCUAUCAGAGGGGGAUAACGAUUGGAAACGAUCGCUAAUACCGCAUGACAUAGCGGAACCGCAUGGUUUUGCUAUCAAAGAUUUUAUCGCUGAUAGAUGGGCUCGCGUCCGAUUAGAUAGUUGGUGGGGUAACGGCCUACCAAGUCGACGAUCGGUAGCCGGACUGAGAGGUCGAACGGCCACAUUGGGACUGAGACACGGCCCAGACUCCUACGGGAGGCAGCAGUGGGGGAUAUUGCACAAUGGGGGAAACCCUGAUGCAGCGACGCCGCGUGAGGGAAGACGGUCCUCUGGAUUGUAAACCUCUGUCUUCGGGGACGAAACGAGACGGUACCCGAGGAGGAAGCCACGGCUAACUACGUGCCAGCAGCCGCGGUAAUACGUAGGUGGCAAGCGUCGUCCGGAAUUACUGGGUGUAAAGGGAGCGUAGGCGGGCAGGCAAGUCAGGCGUGAAAUAUAUCGGCUCAACCGGUAACGGCGCUUGAAACUGCAGGUCUUGAGUGAAGUAGAGGUUGGCGGAAUUCCUAGUGUAGCGGUGAAAUGCGUAGAUAUUAGGAGGAACACCAGUGGCGAAGGCGGCCAACUGGGCUUUUACUGACGCUGAGGCUCGAAAGUGUGGGGAGCAAACAGGAUUAGAUACCCUGGUAGUCCACACCGUAAACGAUGAUUACUAGGUGUGGGGGGACUGACCCCUUCCGUGCCGGAGUUAACACAAUAAGUAAUCCACCUGGGGAGUACGGCCGCAAGGUUGCAACUCAAAGGAAUUGACGGA
rnacentral:rRNA from 1 species